AGAGUUCUGGUGGGAGAGUUAAGUGGAUUGUUGCAAGAUUCAGAGGCCGUGCCACCAAAAUAAAAACUCUGGAUUAAAAACUCUCCAUUAGGACCCGCUCCUUUCUUCACCUCGCCUUAAGGGUUUCUCUGGCUCAGGAAGGCCUGAAGAGUGACCCCCUCAGCAGCAAGCUCCUCCUGCAAGCACUGGAGUUCGGGUCAUGCCCGGACUUGUCUCCACGUGCCCAGCUGCGACCACAGGAGUCAUCCCAGGAUGUAUCCCAGGAGGAAUCCUGAGGAAGGCUGGAAGCUUGUGAUGCAUUAGUGGAUUUGUCUCAUGUCCCAUUUUCAAAGUGCGUCAGCUAAAGACAUUGCAAUUUAUUUCCCAUGCUGAAGUACACUGGACCUGUUUACUUGUCUCCAUCAGCUAUAAGGAGGACAUAUGAGGCAUAAAUCUACACUGCAGUAGACAAGGUUACAUUAAUCUCUUGUUCCAGUGACCCUGUUUAUACCUGAUGUGGGCUGUAAUUUUAAAACCAGCAUCCCUUUUCAAGUUCCCUGGAUUUCAAACCCUGAAAAUUAGAGGCUAUUUGAAAGAGGCACCUAGAUGAGCAGCAGAAAGGAAAAAUGUUUGCUUUGCAUUUUUAAUACGGGAGUCUCAAGACUGGGUCAGGAGAAAUCCUCUGGACAAAGGGGAGAUGCUGCUUUCCCUGACAGCAGCUGACCUUGCUUAGCUGGGAGAAGCUUCUGGAGAGUAUGGUACAUUCUGGAGGAUGUGAUAAAGACACUGAAAUAUUCAAUCUGACUGAAACUGGUGGAUUUUGCAAGAAUCUAUCAGCUUUGAAAAUCAAGAUGCAACUAACAGAUGUGACAAUCUGCACCUUGAGUGGACUAAUGUAAACUCACAAAAAGAAGGAUGAAUCAGAUGGACUCACCACAGGCAUGUCACUUCAACUAUAUGUGUAUAUAGAACAGUACAACAACAGCCAAGAGAAGAGAAAAAUCUUAGAAGAAAUGAAUAGCUGACAUACUGAGACUAGUCUACCUGGUGUUUGAUUAUAACAUCUCAAAAGCAGAAGGACACAGCUAUUGAAUUUCUGCAUGCGUUUUUAUUUUUAAUAAACAAGAAAAUGAAGGGUUGUAGUAUACAAACACUGCAACACUGCCAUGCUGAACUUAUCUGAUGUUUGAUUAAUGUAUUGGAUUGAUGUAUAAUAACUGAACAAGAAAUCUACAUGUUGUUUUGAAGGGUUUAUUUGAUUUGGACAUAGACGUCUUUUAGUCAUUUAGUAUGAGAAAGAGUGCUCUUGGAAGAUAACUCUGUAUUUCACAGUUAUCAGUUUAAACUACUCUUUAUUACAAAAGGGAAGAGCAAUUGAAACACUGACUAUUAGUAAAACUGGUUUGAAAAUGAAAUUUGAUUGAUAUUUUAGAUUUCUUGGGACUAUAUAUGGCACAGCUUUGUAUAAAUUAUAUUUGUUUAAAAUGCAACUGAGCUCAGAACUGCCAGGAACAAUUUAGACACCAUAAAUGUUUCCUCUAAAUUGAAUCAGAGAAGGCUGAAAAGCCUCUAAACACUGUACAGGGAUUCAAUGUUUAGGUUUUAAAUGAAACAAUUUUGAAAAUUGGAGCCUUGCCAUCAUUUAUAGCGCUGUCAGCAUCCAUGCUCUGACAAAAUAGGUUGAUUUUCUUCUUCUUUUCGUUGCUCAUCUUUGUUGGACACUUUCACUGUUAAAUGCAGUAAAUGAGGGGGGUGGGAGGAGAAGAGAGAACAAAAGGGUAAAUGAAACAUUAUUAUGGAAAACUAUUUUCAGAAAUUGCAUUUUAUAUUCAAUAUGGAUAGUUUUUGCCUACACCCAACACUGAAGACCAUUUUUAUGAAACACAAUAAAGGCAUCUCAGAUAUGUUCUUGUUUCACUAUAUCCAAAUAGAUUAAUUUUUUGGUUUCAAUGAAGAUUUAUGCUACCUAUAUUGCACAAGGUAAGUGUAAAUAAGAGCUAUAAAUUGCUAAGCAGUUAGUGUUGCUUGUGAAUGGAACCAUUGUUCUCUAAACAGCCUGAAUUUUAGAGAAUCCAGCUAACUUAACGCCUAUGAGGUGCCAUACAGGAAAAAUGCUAUAAAAAUCUAAUAACAGUAAAUAUGCAUUGGUAUUAACUUAUAUUAGUUUGAGUGAAAGUGCAUAUAUUUAGAACUUAUUAGUA